rnacentral:rRNA from 1 species
UACAGAGGUCUCAAGCGUUGUUCGGAUUUACUGGGCGUAAAGGGUGCGUAGGUGGCGAGGUAAGUUCGAUGUGAAAUCAUCCGAGCUCAACUCGGAAAUGGCAUUGAAUACUAUCCCGCUUGAGGGUCGGAGGGGAGACUGGAAUUCUCGGUGUAGCAGUGAAAUGCGUAGAUAUCGAGAGGAACACCAGUGGCGAAGGCGAGUCUCUGGACGACUCCUGACACUGAGGCACGAAAGCUGGGGGAGCAAACAGG